CUGAAUUUUAUUAUGUUGUUGGUAAAGAGCUUUUUACGUUUGAUGUAACAGCAUUGGAAAAAAAAAUCUCUUGUAAGCUUUAGCGAUCUAAAUCUUGCUGGUAAUUUAAAAAUGACUGUAUCUCCAGACAAAAAAUACGUACUGCUGCGUAAUGAUACUCAAAAUAUCCACCGGCAUUCUUCUCUCUUACACUUCGUCACUUUAUCAUUUACAACAUGUUAGAGAGGUCUUGGAAGAAUUUACAUAACGAGCGAAUUUCCUUGGCAUUUUGGACUCCAAAGAAUAAAGAAUAAUAGUACACUUGUAUACGUGCUGGACAAUAAUAUUUAUUACUAUGAUGUAAAAUAUGAUGAACACCGUCAAAUAACAAAGGACGGAAUAUAUCACACAAUUUAUAACGGAAUUUCUAAUUGGGUCUAUGAAGGUACGGCUUUUUACCUCAGAUUUUUAUAUUCUUUACAUCAAAUAGGCAAG
rnacentral:lncRNA from 1 species